rnacentral:rRNA from 1 species
UACAGAGGGUGCGAGCGUUGUCCGGAAUCACUGGGCGUAAAGGGCGCGUAGGCGGCUUGAUAAGCGUGCGGUGAAAGCCCGGGCUCAACCCCGGGUCGGCCGUGCGAACUGUCGAGCUGGAGCACUGUAGAGGCAGGUGGAAUUCCGGGUGUAGCGGUGGAAUGCGUAGAGAUCCGGAAGAACACCGGUGGCGAAGGCGGCCUGCUGGGCAGUUGCUGACACUGAGGCGCGACAGCGUGGGGAGCAAACAGG